rnacentral:rRNA from 1 species
ACACUCCUGCGGGAGGCAGCAGUGGGGAAUAUUGCACAAUGGGCGCAAGCCUGAUGCAGCCAUGCCGCGUGUGUGAAGAAGGCCUUCGGGUUGUAAAGCACUUUCAGCGGGGAGGAAGGCGAUACGGUUAAUAACCGUGUUGAUUGACGUUACCCGCAGAAGAAGCACCGGCUAACUCCGUGCCAGCAGCCGCGGUAAUACGGAGGGUGCAAGCGUUAAUCGGAAUUACUGGGCGUAAAGCGCACGCAGGCGGUCUGUCAAGUCGGAUGUGAAAUCCCCGGGCUCAACCUGGGAACUGCAUUCGAAACUGGCAGGCUUGAGUCUUGUAGAGGGGGGUAGAAUUCCAGGUGUAGCGGUGAAAUGCGUAGAGAUCUGGAGGAAUACCGGUGGCGAAGGCGGCCCCCUGGACAAAGACUGACGCUCAGGUGCGAAAGCGUGGGGAGCAAACAGGAUUAGAAACCCGUGUAGUCCC